AAAAAGAAUACAUCAAAAGAGAUCAAGAAAACAAGACACAUCUCUUAUAAACUAUCCAGCAGAAACACUCAGUUUGCUGUUCGGAACACAGAUUUCCUGAGAGUUCCAGUGUUCUUUGAGAAACAAUGGCGUUGUGGACUGUCUACCUGUCUCUCUGUCUUCUAGUAGCUUUGAAUGCUUCAGUGGAAUCACGUCCUGUUGAAAAUAAAAAUACAAUUUGUGGCGUCUGUAAGGCAGGAUGGUCUGCCUUUGGAUGCAGAUGCUACAAGUUUUUCAAUUACCAAUACAUAUGGACUAAUGCUGAGUAUAUGUGUUUGUACUAUAAUGGGAACCUUGCUUCUGUACACAGCCAUGAGGAGUACAUGUUUAUACAGAAGCUGGUUAGACAGACAACUCAUGCAUCAACACCUACCUGGAUCGGAGGCCAUGAUGCUAUUCGUUGGGGAAAUUGGUUCUGGAGUGAUGGAUCCAGUUUUGGCUAUCAACUAUGGUCGCCUGGACAACCCAGUUACAGUACAAAUGAGGACUGCAUUGAGAUGAACUCUGUCAAUGGCAACUGGAAUGAUGUGAACUGUUAUGAAAAUAAGCCCUUUGUGUGUGCGUACUGAACCAGCAUGUGAAAAAUCAGUGUAGAAGAAACAAGCUACUUUGACUCAUUUACUUUCCAUUAGAAAUGUUUAAUGGAGGCUAAUAAAUGAAUGAAUUAUG